rnacentral:rRNA from 1 species
UACAGAGGUCUCAAGCGUUGUUCGGAUUCAUUGGGCGUAAAGGGUGCGUAGGCGGCGCGGUAAGUCGGGUGUGAAAUCUCGGAGCUUAACUCCGAAACUGCAUUCGAUACUGCCGUGCUUGAGGACUGGAGAGGUGACUGGAAUUUACGGUGUAGCGGUGAAAUGCGUAGAUAUCGUAAGGAAGACCAGUGGCGAAGGCGGGUCUCUGGACAGUUCCUGACGCUGAGGCACGAAGGCCAGGGGAGCAAACGGG